GGCUGAAAUUCGCCUUCAUGAAGCCGGAAUUGCUAGUAAUGGCAGGUCAGCAUACUGCCGUGAAUACGUUCCCGGGCCUUGUACACACCGCCCGUCACACCAUGAGAGUUGGGAAUACCCGAAGCCUGUGAGCUAACGUUAAGAGGCAGCAGUCGAAGGUAGAAUCAAUGAUUGGGGUGAAGUCGUAACAAGGUAGC
rnacentral:rRNA from 1 species